rnacentral:tRNA from 1 species
GCGGGUGUAGCUCAAUUGGUAGAGUACAAGCUUCCCAAGCUUGGUGUCGCGAGUUCGAUUCUCGUCACCCGCUCCA